CCCACGCCCGAGACCUGGGGGCGAGUCUCCACGGAUGAGCCCUCCUCCUCCGCGCGGUCACUGCCAGGAGUCGAGGCCGGUUCGUUCCUCGUCCACGGUCUCUCACGCCCUCUGAGGUUACCGACCUGUUUGGUGCAGGAGAUGACCACCAGAGGGCAGGAUACCCCAACUAUGAAGUCUAUGUGCAGUCACCAAAAUUGAAGCUCUGUAUUAGAAGGAAUAUUCUCAACUAAUAGAUGAGCCACUUGGCUCUAGUGCUCGGGGUCACUCAGGUCUCAGUGACCAAGCCCAGUCAAACUGAGAAGUCACCUCAAAGGCCAUGCUGUGCACAGGAGCCCAAGAGGCGGCCCCUGAGCCCAACCCUGGAGGUGGCGUCCCUCUGGAGUCGCGCGGCAGCCCCAGACCUGAUCUGAACAAUGGAGAAGAUACCUGUCCUGGGCCUGGGCACCUGGCAGGCCGCUCCGGGGGAGGUGACGGAGGCGGUGAAAGUGGCCAUCGACACGGGCUAUCGACACUUCGACUGCGCCUACUUGUACCACAAUGAGAACGAGGUCGGAGUGGGGAUCCAGGCCAAGAUCGACGAGGGCGUGGUGAGACGGGAGGACCUGUUCAUUGUCAGCAAGCUCUGGUGCACCUGCCAUAAGAAGUCCCUGGUGAAGUCGGCCUGCACCAGGAGCCUGAAGGCCUUGAAGCUGCAGUACCUGGACCUGUACCUCAUACACUGGCCCAUGGGCUUCAAGCCGGGGGAGGUGGACUUGCCUGUGGACCGCAGUGGCAUGAUCGUCGCCAGCAACACGGAUUUCCUGGACACGUGGGAGGCCAUGGAGGACCUGGUCAUCGAAGGCCUGGUGAGAGCCAUCGGGGUGUCCAACUUCAACCACGAGCAGCUGGAGAGACUCCUGAAUAAACCCAACCUGAGGGUCAAGCCAGUGACCAACCAGAUCGAAUGCCACCCAUACCUUACGCAGAAGAAGCUGAUCAGUUUCUGCCAAUCCAGAAACGUGUCCGUGACUGCUUACCGGCCCCUUGGUGGCUCCAGUGAGGGGGUGCCCCUGCUGGAGGACCCCGUGAUCCAGACUAUCGCGCAGAAGCACGGGAAGUCUGCAGCCCAGAUUUUGAUCCGGUUUCAGAUCCAGAGGAAUGUGAUAGUGAUUCCCAAAUCUGUCAACCCAAAGCGGAUUCUUGAGAAUUUCCAGGAAAGUGUCUCCUCCUGUCCCUUUGGAGGGUUUGGGGUCCCGUGUCAGCUCUGGGGCCGAGCAGGACGAGGGUGGGGGGCCCACCAGAGCCGGAAGCCUCGCCCUCUGUGACUCUGACACCUCGACGCCGCCACUGGGGAGGGGGCAGGAUGAGGCCCCAGGAGCGAGACAGGCCCUUGUUGCCGCCUGGGGUCCUGUGAACGAGGUUGAAAGGGAAGCGCAGAGGUGAUGGGCUGCAGGGGUGCGGGCAGCCGGAAGCCCGCCCCCCGCCCCCAGGGCCGCCCCGUAAUGCCCUGCCCAGGCUGCCCAGCCGAGAGGUCUCUGGACCCUUCCAGAGAUGUUCCCUCGCUCCCCUGCACGCAGAGUACCCCGGGCCCCAGCUCUCCCUCCAGGCACAACUUUGGUUGGCGCUGAGUCUCUGAUUUCUACUAGACUUCGGGGUGCAGGACCCCCGUGGGCAGAGGCUGGCCCGUGCUCUGUCCCCUCUGAGGUGGACUCGCCGCUCCUCCCCCCUGCCCGCUCCCCCUCCCCGCUCCUCAGCUGGGUUCAGGGUCCCCUCUCCCCGGUGGCCAGUUCCUCCUGUGGCGAGGGCGUGGCCCUCGGGGACUGAGUGGGGAUGGCCUUAGCGGGAACAGACCAGUUAGCCUGCGCAGGGACACUGCAAGCGUUAAUGGUCCUGGGCCCAAGAGACUCCGUAGAUGGUGGGUGUGGAAGAAAUAGUUUUGUCUUCUGUUUCUUGGGGGGUUUUUUUCUGGGGGGGUGGAGGGUGGGAAGAUUCUGUCCUGGAAUGUCCCUUUACACUUGCAGGCUGCCGUCCCCCCGCAGCCUGAGGUGGGCAGAGCCCACGUGCCUUUGGGGGCUGAGGCCCAUGUUCAGGGAAGGUCCUGGUGUCACAGGUUGUCACAGGUCACAGGUCCCUCUACCAAAGGCCCACUGACCUGAAUCUCCUGUGACUGUUUCCUUUUGGUUCCAGGUGUUUGACUUUGAAUUAUCAGAACAGGAUAUGACUGACCUCCUCGGCCUGGACAGGAAUCUGCGUUUGUCCGCCUUCCCCAUGUAAAUACGGCUCCUUUUCCUCCUUCCAAGGGGGCGCAGCGAUGUCCAGGGCAGGGCUGUUUGCUGCAGGGGUGUCUCUUAUGUGCACCCAGGUGAACCAAACCUUCUUCUCAGGAUCCUGUCCUCCCCAGAAGGGCCACUUUCGAGAGCUGAAAACCACAAGGAUUAUCCCUUCAAAGCAGAGUACUGAGACCCUGCUGGGCCAGGCAAAUCCUCACCUCUGCCAGGGGCGGGGCCACAGCUUGAGCGGAGUGGAAGGUUCCGGAGAAGCCUGGAGAACUGAGUGAGGUCUGCCAUCGGAGGGGAGGCUUGGAGAGAGUGAGCAGUGAACCCCUUAAAGUCUUAAGGCUCCGUGGGGCACACGGUGUGACGGGCUUCUCACAAACCUGCCGCGUGGCCUGUACUCUCCCACAAGGAUGUUUGAUGGCUCAUAAGUUCACAUGUUAAAAAAGUGUGUUAUGGAAAUAUUUGAUUAUCUGUUGCAUAGCUAAUCUCUCUCUGCUAUAAAAACAGUUCUUAUAAACAUUAACAAAAUGAUAAAUUCCCAAUUAAAAAAUGAUGCUGGAAGAACGCA